UCCCCUACGGGACGCAGCAGUGGGGAAUAUUGCACAAUGGGGGAAACCCUGAUGCAGCGACGCCGCGUGGGUGAAGGAGCACCUCGGUGCGUAAAGCCCUAUCGGCAGGGAAGAAAAGCGAACAGGUUCGCCCGGACGGGACCUGACUAAGAAGCCCCCGCUAACUACGUGCCAGCAGCCGCGGGAAUACGUAGGGGGCAAGCGUUUUCCGGAUUCAUUGGGUGUAAAGGGAGCGUAGAC
rnacentral:rRNA from 1 species